rnacentral:rRNA from 1 species
ACGAACGCUGGCGGCGUGCUUCACACCUGCAAGUCGAACGGAAAGGCCCUGCUUUUGUGGGGUGCUCGAGUGGCGAACGGGUGAGUAACACGUGAGUAACCUGCCCUUGACUUUGGGAUAACUUCAGGAGACUGGGGCUAAUACCGGAUAGGAGCUCCUGCUGCAUGGUGGGGGUUGGAAAGUUUCGGCGGUUGGGGAUGGACUCGCGGCUUAUCAGCUUGUUGGUGGGGUAGUGGCUUACCAAGGCUUUGACGGGUAGCCGGCCUGAGAGGGUGACCGGCCACAUUGGGACUGAGAUACGGCCCAGACUCCUACGGGAGGCAGCAGUGGGGAAUAUUGCACAAUGGGCGGAAGCCUGAUGCAGCAACGCCGCGUGCGGGAUGACGGCCUUCGGGUUGUAAACCGCUUUCGCCUGUGACGAAGCGUGAGUGACGGUAAUGGGUAAAGAAGCACCGGCUAACUACGUG